rnacentral:snoRNA from 1 species
AGCACUAUUUUUAAACCUGUUGGUGGAAUUUCCUGACCACCAUGGGUUACGCUGUAGUGCAAAAGAAUCUCCUGGCUUGUCAGAGCAUAGCUGACCUUGCUUUCUUCAGCUGCUGCUCCUCCUCUGAAGCUAAGGAACAGAA